CCCUGCCCCUUGGCUCCGCGUCGCCCCGCCUCGCGGUGCAGGCCGGGAGUGGGAGUCCCGCGAAGCGAAGACGAAGCUGCCCACCGGGGCCGCUAUGCAAAUAAGCGGGGCGGGGCGGCGGUUGAACGGAAGUUGGGGCCGUCGUUGCUCCUGCUGCGCGCGGGGUGGUACACAGAGGAGCCAUAAGGGAGCGUCUUGCCAGCCAAGCCGUCACCUUCUGUCCCAGGCCCGAGACAUCCCAGCGGAGCCAUGAGGGAACCGCAUGCAGCCCCCCGUGCACCCUGGGUCGGCCCCACAGCUCCCUGAGGAGGCAGAGCUGCUGCUGCUGCUGUCUCCACAGCUCUGAGGCAAAAUGCCAGCGUCCACUGGGAAGCACGAGGUGUAGCACGGCUGGUUCUCACUGCUGCUGGCCCCUCAGCCAUGUCCCUGUCUCGUGUGGAAAAUCCCUGUUUUCUGCUCUUCCUCGCUGGCUUUCAAGCAUUGUUUAUCCUAAUCCUGUACCGAGGUGGAGCAACUAGUGUGUUUCGGGGGAUUUUGGAGGCACCUCGGGCCUUGGAUUACUCCAGAACACACGAUGUGUACUCAAACCUCAGUCUGUUCACCCGAGCGCCGAACAAGGACACCAUGCGAUACUGCACAGCCCAGUCUCCAAUAUUUGUUGGUCCAUUAACGAUCAGCUUCAAUAUGCUCCCCAGUGAAAGAACAAUUAUUAACAAAAAUCCCUUUGUUCAGCCUGGUGGCCGCUACAGCCCUCCUCAUUGCCUGGCUCGCUACAAAUCAGCCAUUAUUAUACCACACAAGAACCAGGAAAAGUACCUUCGACACCUUCUCUAUUACCUUCAUCCCUUCCUGCAGCGCCAGCAGCUCCAUUAUGGCAUCUACUUGAUUCAGCAGGCUGGAAAUACCACAUUUAACCGAGCAAAGCUCCUUAACGUUGGCGUCCGAGAAGUCCUGAAGGAUGAGGACUGGGACUGCCUCCUCCUGCAUGAUGUGGACCUUGUUCCUGAGAAUGAUUAUAAUCUCUACAUCUGUGAUGAAUAUUUCCCCAAACACAUGGCUAGUGCCGUGGACAAGUUCCAAUACAGUUUGCCAUAUUUGUCCUUUUUUGGGGGUGUAUCUGCAUUGACACCAGAUCACUACAUGAAGAUGAAUGGAUUUCCUAACACCUACUGGGGUGCUGGUAGUGAAGACGACAUUGCUGCAAGGAUUCAGUUAGCGGGAAUGAAAAUAGCCCGGACCCCCAUUCAUCUUGGACGCUACAAAAUGAUGGAUCAGGAGCAAACCGCAGGGAGGGAAGAACUCCUGAGAAGGCCUGCUCCACUGCACGACACCACAAAAACCUGGAGGGACGAUGGAAUGAAUACUAUAGAGUAUAUACUCCUUGCUAGGAAGAAGCACCCUCUGUAUACCAACAUCACAGUGGACAUAGGAUAUAUUCCCCCAGUGCUUUCGAAGAGUGCAAAGAAAGGAAAAAGAGGCUGAGUUACUAGGGUAGUCAGUGGCAAGAGUGAAGUCCAGGAGCUUCCAGUCUGCAUCUAGUCAGGAAGAUGAUGUCCAUAAAGACUCUUGAAAAACUGUUUAGAAGAUGGGUGAAAUGUAGAGCAGACUGAAGGAACACACAAGGUUAGAACAAAAGUCCACAGGAACGAGGCACAACUGCUACUUUAUGGGAUUUGGCCUAUUGUAGAGAAUCCCUUUUAAAGCUUUGUCAAAUGUGAUGUCUACUGAGCCACAUGCACGUCCCACCCCUUAGAUGUAGCCUAGAGGUGUAAGUUCUAGUCACAACCAGAUAAGUCCUCUGAGCUAGAGACUCCUGAGCACCGCAUCCCAUUGCUGGAGAGCUGAAUGCCAGGUUUGUCUAUAAACUAUUAGGGUGAGAAUGUGGGCACUGGACUCCUUGGUUCUGUUUCUGACUCAGCAGUUGUUGUAAUUGGAGAUCUGUGAAUAAGGAUUGUAGAAAGAGAUACCCUUACAAGGAAAAAAAUUACUAGCAUGAAUAGAUGCUGGCAAAUAAGAGGUAGGAGAGGAAUAAGUGCCCAGAGCUAGAAUUAUUGGGCUGUCUGACUAUCUACAGCAUCUAAAACGGAUCCUGGCCUAUGUAUGAAGUGCAGUCUCUACAUAACUUUCAGUAAAAAUCCCCUUGGUUAUUGUGUGCUAUUACCUAAUGCAAACUCAACUUUUUCUUCACCAAUCCCAAAAUCUACCAGCUGUCUCUCCUAAACAGAGAUCAUACACUUGUGUGUUGUGUUGUCCUGAUGACCCUUCUAAUGGAAUAAAAGUCAAGAAACGGA